UACCGAGGGUGCGAGCGUUAAUCGGAAUUACUGGGCGUAAAGCGUGCGCAGACGGUCACGUAAGUCGGGUGUGAAAGCCCCGGGCUCAACCUGGGAAUUGCAUUCGAGACUGCGUGGCUAGGGUGCGGAAGAGGGAAGCGGAAUUUCCGGUGUAGCGGUGAAAUGCGUAGAUAUCGGAAGGAACACCAGUGGCGAAAGCGGCUUCCUGGUCCAGCACCGACGUCAGGCACGAAAGCGUGGGGAGCAAACAGG
rnacentral:rRNA from 1 species